UGGGGAAUAUUGGACAAUGGGCGAAAGCCUGAUCCAGCCAUGCCGCGUGAGUGAUGAAGGCCCUAGGGUUGUAAAGCUCUUUUAACGGGGAAGAUAAUGACGGUACCCGUAGAAUAAGCCCCGGCUAACUUCGUGCCAGCAGCCGCGGUAAUACGAAGGGGGCUAGCGUUGCUCGGAAUCACUGGGCGUAAAGCGCACGUAGGCGGACUCUUAAGUCGGUGGUGAAAUCCUGGAGCUCAACUCCAGAACU
rnacentral:rRNA from 1 species